CUCUUUCUUCAGAUGAUGAUCCCAAGCCUUCAGGCGUUCUGUUUAUUAAAUUCCAAAAGCAAUAAAAACAUUUAGGAGCGUUUAAAAAAACAAACCAAAAGCGUUUAACAAACAUAUAUGUUUGUUAAAUAUAUCUUUUAUCUGUCCCGAAGAAGGUUUUUACCAAUUCACUCCUGAGGGCUUGUAGCUCAGUUGGUU
rnacentral:misc_RNA from 1 species